UACGUAGGCAGCAAGCGUUGUUCGGAGUUACUGGGCGUAAAGGGUGUGUAGGCGGUUCUUUAAGUUUGGUGUGAAAUCUCCCGGCUCAACUGGGAGGGUGCGCCGAAGACUGGAAGGCUUGAGUAUGGGAGAGGUAAGCGGAAUUCCUGGUGUAGCGGUGAAAUGCGUAGAUAUCAGGAGGAACACCUGCGGUGUAGACGGCUUACUGGACCAUAACUGACGCUGAGGCACGAAAGCGUGGGUAGCAAACAGG
rnacentral:rRNA from 1 species